rnacentral:rRNA from 1 species
AAUGAACGCUGGCGGCGCGCCUAAUACAUGCAAGUCGAGCGAGAAGACGUAGCAAUACGUUUGUAAAGCGGCGAACGGGUGAGGAAUACAUGGGUAACCUACCCUAGAGUGGGGAAUAACUAGCCGAAAGGUUAGCUAAUACCGCGUACGCUCCUUGGACUUCGGUUCAGGGAGGAAAGCGAUACCGAGGGUAUCGCGCUCUUGGAUGGGCUCAUGUCCUAUCAGCUUGUUGGUGAGGUAACGGCUCACCAAGGCUUCGACGGGUAGCUGGUCUGAGAGGACGAUCAGCCACACUGGCACUGCGACACGGGCCAGACUCCUACGGGAGGCAGCAGUAAGGAAUAUUGCGCAAUGGGCGAAAGCCUGACGCAGCGACGCC